UUGGGUUGUUGAUAAACUUGAGAAAUGUACACUUAACGUGAAUGAAGAAGUUAAAAAUGUAAAACAUGAUUUUCAAAUUAAACAAGUUUCUACAAAUUGUUCAAAAUCUUAUUUUCUGGACAUCCGUUCUGACAAAAAACACGACUUUCCAACAAAACCGUUUUUUAUGAACCCGAGAUCAAGGCCCUACACCGAAAACACCACUUUGGACGAACAGUAUGAACCCACAGCACCGAAUCACGGAAACCCAUAUUUUUAUCGCUUCGAAAAAUAUCUCCGAAAUAGACCGGGAGUCUGCAUUCGAUAUGAGUGGCAGGGAAAGCCGAUUUGGGCUACGGGGGACCGGAGUUUGGUUAAGAAAUGUGAGUAUUGUGGGGAAGAACGAGUUUUUGAAUUGCAACUAUUUUCGACUGUGAUUUCACUUGUUGGUAAUUUUUGUGAUUUAUUGAUCGGAUUUUUAUAUUCCCGAGUUUUUGACGGUGGCU